rnacentral:rRNA from 1 species
CGCGGUAAUUCCAGCUCCAAUAGCGUAUAUUAAAGUUGUUGCAGUUAAAAAGCUCGUAGUUGAAUUUCGGGGUCAGUAGGUUGGUCGUGCCACCGGUACGUACUGGUCUCACUGAUUCCUCCUUCCUGAUGAGCUGUAAUGCCAUUAAUUUGGUGUUGCAGGGAAUCUGGACUGUUACUUUGAAAAAAUUAGAGUGUUUAAAGCAGGCUAACGCUUGAAUACAUUAGCAUGGAAUAAUGAAAUAGGACGUUCGAUCCUAUUUUGUUGGUUUCUAGGAUUGACGUAAUGAUUAAUAGGGAUAGUUGGGGGCAUUAGUAUUCAAUUGUCAGAGGUGAAAUUCUUGGAUUUAUUGAAGACUAACUACUGCGAAAGCAUUUGCCAAGGAUGUUUUCAUUAAUCAAGAACGAAAGUUAGGGGAUCGAAGACGAUCAGAUACCGUCGUAGUCUUAACCAUAAACUAUGCCGACUAGGGAUCGGAUGAUGUUAAUUUU